GACGAACCGUGCGAACGUUGUUCGGAUUCAUUGGGCGUAAAGGGUGCGUAGGUGGCGGGGUAAGUCAGGUGUGAAAUUUCGGAGCUUAACUCCGAAACUGCAUUUGAUACUGCCUUGCUUGAGGACUGGAGAGGAGUACUGGAAUUCACGGUGUAGCAGUGAAAUGCGUAGAGAUCGUGAGGAAGACCAGUGGCGAAAGGCGGGUCUCGUGGACAGUUCCUGACACUGAGGCACGAAGGCCAGGGGGAGCGAAAACGGG
rnacentral:rRNA from 1 species